AGAGCGAACGCUGGCGGCGUGCUUAACACAUGCAAGUCGAACGCGCAGCAUUCUGUAGCAAUACAGGAUGUGGGCGCGUGGCGAACGGGUGCGUAACACGUGGAUAACCUUCCUUCGAGGUGGGGAAUAACCCAGCGAAAGUUGGGCUAAUACCGCAUAAAAUUACGAGGGUACAUGCUCUUGUAUUCAAAGGCGCAAGUCGCCAGAAGAGGGAUCCGCGGCCGAUUAGCUUGUUGGCGAGGUAACGGCCCACCAAGGCGACGACGGGUA
rnacentral:rRNA from 1 species